rnacentral:rRNA from 1 species
UACGUAGGGUGCGAGCGUUAAUCGGAAUUACUGGGCGUAAAGCGUGCGCAGGCGGUUUUGUAAGCCAGAUGUGAAAUCCCCGGGCUCAACCUGGGAAUGGCAUUUGGGACUGCAAGGCUCGAGUUUGGCAGAGGAGACUGGAAUUCCUGGUGUAGCAGUGAAAUGCGUAGAUAUACGGAGGAACACCAGCGGCGAAGGCGGGUAGCUGGGCCAACACUGACGCUGAUGCGCGAAAGCUAGGGGAGCAAACGGG